rnacentral:rRNA from 1 species
CCUACGGGCGGCAGCAGUGGGGAAUAUUGCACAAUGGGGGAAACCCUGAUGCAGCGACGCCGCGUGAGUGAAGAAGUAAUUCGUUAUGUAAAGCUCUAUCAGCAGGGAAGAAAAUGACGGUACCUGAGUAAGAAGCCCCGGCUAACUACGUGCCAGCAGCCGCGGUCAUACGUAGGGGGCAAGCGUUAUCCGGAUUUACUGGGUGUAAAGGGAGCGUAGACGGGAGUGCAAGUCUGGAGUGAAAGGCGGGGGCUCAACCCCCGGACUGCUGUGGAAACUGUGCGGCUGGAGUGCAGGAGAGGUAAGUGGAAUUCCUAGUGUAGCGGUGAAAUGCGUAGAUAUUAGGAGGAACACCAGUGGCGAAGGCGGCUUACUGGACUGUAACUGACGUUGAGGCUCGAAAGCGUGGGGAGCAAACAGGAUUAGAUACCCGAGUAGUC